rnacentral:rRNA from 1 species
CCCUUAGAUGUCCUGGGCCGCACGCGCGCUACACUGACAUGUUCAACAAGCCUCCUAGUUCGACAGGAUUUGGGAAAUCUUUGAACGCAUGUCGUGAUAGGGAUAGAUCAUUGCAAUUAUUGAUCUUGAACGAGGAAUUCCUAGUAAACGCGAGUCAUCAGCUCGCAUUGGUUACGUCCCUGCCCUUUGUACACACCGCCCGUCGCACCUACCGAUUGAAUGUUUCGGUGAAGAUUCCGGAUAGGACUUUUUUGAUUUAUUUCAAUUUUGUCUUAAAAGCUAUCUAAACCUCAACAUUUAGAGGAAGGUGAAGUCGUAACA